AGUAGCAAUAAGGACAGCAACAACUGUGGCAUUGUUAAUGGCAUUGUUGAGACCACUAAUGUGGAGCUUCUUCACCUUCUUAGCAAUUUUCCGUACUUUGAAGCCUGUCUGACGACUCUGUUGGAGUUGGGACUGCACAUCAUGUCUUAUAUCACUGACAGUCUGCUUGAGUUGCUUAGUGUUAUUUGGGGGCUUCCCAUGAUCUUUGGAAUGGACAGCUCCCGCCAACUUCAGAAUGGAAACAACCUCUGGCAUUCCAAACUUUUCAGCAAUAUCAAGAGCUGUUUCUCCAGCCUUAUUAAUGGCAUUCAGAUCGAUGCAUUCAAUUGAUA
rnacentral:misc_RNA from 1 species